CGAAGGGUGCUAGCGUUGUUCGGAAUUACUGGGCGUAAAGCGUGCGUAGGCGGCUAUUCAAGUCAGGGGUGAAAUCCCGGGGCUUAACCCCGGAAUUGCCUUUGAAACUGUAUAGCUAGAGUAUCGGAGGGGUCAGGGGAAUUCCUAAUGUAGCGGUGAAAUUCGUAGAUAUCGGGAGGAACACCAGUGGCGAAGGCGAAGACCUGGGCCGAUACUGACGCUGAGGUGCGAAAGCGUGGGGAGCAAACAG
rnacentral:rRNA from 1 species